rnacentral:lncRNA from 1 species
UUACUUUCACUUUGCACUGUGGACUCGUCUCGAAUUUUUUCUUGCGCAAGAUCCAAGAACCCUCUCUUGGGGUCUGGAUCAGGACGCCUUUUUGGUUACAGAAACAGAUAGACAAAGGAGUGGAAAAACAAAAGGGAUAAGCAGAAAGGAGCAAAUUUGAAUAUAUCAUUUUAUAUCUUUUUUUAUCAGUCUCUUAGUCCCGAGAAUAGAUCAGUUCAGUUAAACAGCUAUGUCUCAUUCCAGGGGGUGGCAUUACAGAUGGACUAGGACUCUAUAUAUGAAGCGGCAAACAGAUUUUUAAUAAAAGGUGUUUCUAUGAAAACAGAAGAAAAACAAAGGUUAAUAUCUACUGUAGACUAUACACUAGUUUUUUGAGAGUCUCUGUAGUUCUUCAGAUUGUAGUGUUAAUCUGACAGAGUCUCCUGGUUGUAGUUUAAAUCAGGUGUUGCAGUGAACUUUCUGAGUAUUCCAUACAUCAACAAAGCAUAAAAGCUGUUUAUAUAUAAGUUGCUGUAGUGAUUUUUCCCAUAGUUUAUUCAAGUUGUCUUGCUCCAGUCUGCAGGGCUUCAAGAAAAGCAUAGUUUUAACUUCUACUUAUUCCAAGUCAGAAACAUAGGAGAAAAAAAUUUAAAUGUUAGCUUGGAGACUUGUAGCCAGGAAAGAAUUCAAGAUUUAGUUCAAAUGUAGGCAAAUAAUUACAACUUAAAAACAAUGGACAAAGCUAGAAUCUAACAACAGGUAUGCUAUCAUUUUCUUCUGAAACAUAAUUCUUCUCUCUCCAGUCCCCCUUUUCUAUUAAAGGCAAAUCAUAACAGGACCAAUUUAUUUGCAAAAUAAGUUUUAGUUUUAUUAUAUUUGGCCUGAUUAUUUGCAUAAAGUACAGCAAAAAUAGUGAUUGACCACAUAUAGGCUCUUUUAAAGUUUGGCUUUGUUGGAACUUUUUCAUAAGGAAUUUCACAUUCAACUUUUAAAAACUCUCAAGGCUAAGAAGCCAAGACAAGGAUUCACAAUCAGACUGCACUUGUAAUUCCUGUAUAAAUUGGAUACACUCCUCUCUUGUCAAGGUUCCCAAAAUAUCCUGAGGCUCCUGGGCCUGCCAGAGAGUGACAUUCUUUACUACCGCAAGGUCAGGAACCUUGUAAGGAAACUGUGUAGACAAGGUAUCAGGCUAAUUUUUCCAACAGGCUUUUUAUAGGCUCUAUAAAGUCAACUUCAAAUCCUCAAAGCAGUCUGGUCAUUAAAAAAUUAUGCCAUUCCAAUGAAAGCCUUGGCAAAAUAAUCAGUGUAUCCAACUGUGUUCUGUUACAAAAGAAAACAGAUUCCUAUCGAAUUUGUACAAAUAACUAUAUUGCCAAAAGUGAAGAAUACUCACAAAUACUUUCCAAAUUCUGGAGACAUCAGGUAGAGAGAAAGGUUAGUGUUUCAAUUGUUCUCACAAAAGUGUAAUUUAUCUAAUUACUGUAAGCUAUGUACAGCUCAAAAGAAAAAAACAAUUUUCUUGACUCUGGAAAACAAAACAUAAAAAGUAUCAGCAAUGUCUCAAACCAAAAAAAGGUUAUGAAAAUAUUAUUUUGGCAUUUUAUCAGUUCAGCCCCAUGUAAUUAACUUAUUCUGCUUGAUGUUGGAUUAGCAAUCUUCAUUAAUUUAUUAGAUUUUAAAAAAUUAUUUUAGAAGUUUUUAACUAGUCCAACGGUGUGAAUUCCAAAGUUAUCAGAAAACUGUGUUUAAGUGUGUGUGCUGUCAGGGCCCUUUCCAUGGAUUUUUUUUUUUUUUUUUUGAACAAGCAGAUUUUAGGCUGUAGCCAAUUACAAACCACUUUUGAAAAGAAUCCAAGUAAAACAAUAAUCAUCUGUGAAUGACAAAAGACUUAGAAGAGCCAUGAUUACUGAUGCAAUUGACAAAGAAAUUUCAUUAUUUCUGUGGUAUACAAUAAUUUAACAGGAUAACAAUUAUUACCAAUAACAUAUAACAAGAUCUAUCAACAUUUUAGCAAUAUGAUACAAUUUUGGGAUGCAUAUUAAUAACAGAUUUAUACAAAUACAACUCAAAGAAAAUUAAACAACAUUUUUUAUUUGAUCAGCUUCCUGUAUGAUUUUAAUAUACCAAAUUAGCCUAAUAUGUUUCUUUUGGACUUCCAGGGGCCCUAUUUGGACUUCCAAGGGCUUUAAUGCCCAAAAGUUAGCUUGAGGUCGAAAACAUUUAAGUUAGAAUUUUACAUUUGAUUUUGGGAAGUUUGUCAAAUAUCAAAGGUUUAAAACACUUGAUCAAAAUAAGAUUACAGGUCACUGUAAGAUAAUAGUUAUUCAUUUAGCCAAACUGAUAAUUCAAAAAUUUCAAAAAGCAAAAAUUUUACUCUUUGACAGAGGGGAGAUUCAGUUUUCCAAACAAUCAAAAGACAUAAUAAAAACAGCAUUAGGGAAAUUCUCUCCUCUUAUUACUAAUAUUUUUUGCAGUUUACUCAAAAGGUAAACAAAAAUCUUUUACUAUUUCUUAUUAAUGUAUACAAAAAUCUUGUUCAAAAGAGAAAUCCAAAUUCUAACUUUGUGCCAGUGUAUUAUAAAUGCUAAAGCUAAUUUUAAUAAAGCCUUAUAAACAGAUCAAUCCAAUUGCAAUUGUUUUCUUUUCCUUUUUUUGUUUUUUUUUGAGACAGGGUCUCACUUUGUCACCCAGGCUGGAGUGUAGUGGUGCAAUCUUGGCUUACUGCAACCUUUGACUCCCGGGCUCAAGCAAUUUUCCCAUCUCAGUCCCCCAAGUAGCUGGGACUACAAGUGUGUACCAUCAUGCCCAGCUAAUUCCUUUUGUACUUUGGUAGUGAGAGAGUUUCACUAUGUUGCCCAGGAUGGUCUCAAACUCCUGAGCUCAAGUGAUCUGCCCAUCUCAGCCUCCCAAAGUGCUGGGAUUACAAGUGUGAGCUACUGCAUCCAGCCUGCAAUUGGUUUUGACUGCACAAGAAAAAACAUAAAAAGGUUCCAUGAACCUUUUAUAACCUCUUAUAAUUGUUACGGUUUUAUUUCUUUCCUCAAUUUUCUAUGUCCAUUCAGUUUUAGGUCCUUAAAAAAAUAGCAGAGAUAGUGUAAACCUGUCUAACAAAUAGACCCAGAAAAAUAUCUAAAUUAAAUUCAGAAAAUGUUUCUAUUUUAUUUUACCCCAAAUUUUAAACUAUCUUCAUUUACCACAGAUUACUAAUGCCCUGUGAACUUGAAAAGCGUUUGGGCUUAUUUACUUAAUUUAUGAGUACUAAUUUAUUUAUGUCAAGUUGGUACCAUACAGGCAAUCUAUAAACAUAGACACGUAUCCAUAAAAUAUAAACACAAAUAAAUACUUUAUAUCAUUUUUUCUUUUUUUGAGACAGAGUUUCACUCUUAUUGCCCAGGCUGGAGUGCAAUGGUGCAAUCUCGCCUCACUGCAACUUCCGUCGCCCGGGUUCAAGCCAUUCUCUUGCCUCAGCCUCCCGAGUAGCUGGGAUUACAGGUGUGUGCCACCAUGCCUGACUAAUUUUUGUAUUUUUAGUAGAGAUGGAGUUUCAUCAUGUUGGCCAGGCUGGUCUUGAACUCCUGACCUCAGGUGAUCCAUCCCCGCCUUGGUCUCCAAAAGUGAUAGGAUUACAGGCAUGAGCCACUGCACCUGGCCUACAUCUUUAAAAUUUUAGCCACGAGACCAGUAAAACUCCUUAGUUUAAAAGGACAGUUGAAUUCAAAUGCAGCUUUGUAAAUGGAAAGGUUACAGUUUGUCUGUCCUUCAUGGCUGAAGAUCUUACCAAGUUUUAAGAAAAACAGGAUAGCAAAUUUACAUCUCAAAACAGAGAAAAUUAAGCAUUUUCAAGAAGAAGUUAGGGUAUGUUAGAGAAAGAUUAAAAAUGGACAACAAGUGAUAUAGUUUGAGUAUUUGUCCUCUUCAAAUCUCAUGUUGAAAUGUUAUCCCCAGUGUUGGAGGUUGGGUCAAGUAGGAGGUUUUUGGGUCAUGGUGGCAGGUCCCUCAUGAAUGGCUGGGUUCUGUCCUUGUGGUAAUGAGUGAGUUCUUAUUCCAUUAGCUCAUGUGAGAGCUGGUUUUAAAAAGAGUCUAGUGUCUUUCUCACCUUUCUCUUGCUCCCUUUUUGGCCAUGUGAUAUGCCUGCUCCUCCUCUUCGCCUUCCACCAUGAUUGUAAGCUUCUUUUUCUUUUCUUUCUUUCUUUCUUUUUUUUUUGAGAUAGAGUAUCACUCUGUUGCCCAGGCUGGAGUACAGUGGUGUGAUCUCAGCUCACAGCAACCUCUGCCUCCCAAGUUCCAAGUGAUCCUCUUGCCUCAGCCUCCUGAGUAGCAGGGAUUCCAGACACAUGCCACCAUGCCCAGCUAAUUUUUGUAUUUUUAGUAGAGAUGGGGUUUCACCAUGUUGGCCAGCCUGGUCUCGAACUCCUGACCUCAAAUGAUCCAUCUGUCUCCGCCUCCCGAAGUGCUGGCAUUACAGGCAUGAGCCACCGCACGCGGCCAAUUGUAAACUUCUUGAGGUUGUCACCAGAAGCAGAUGCUGGCAUCAUGCUUCUUGUACAGCCUGCAGAAUAGUGAGCCAAAUAAACUUUUCUUUAUAAAUCACCAAGCCUCAGGUAUUCCUUUAUAGCAACACAAAACAGACAAACACACCAAUGUGACACAAAAUUAUAGAAAUUCACAUAGGAUGUUACAAUGAAAGAUACAAAUGAGCAGAGAGGAAAUUCAGAAGCCUUUUAAAAAUAACUAGCUAAGCCCGGGCAACAUGGUAUAUAACUUUGUCUCUACAAAAGCAACAAAAUUAGCCAGGCAUGGUGGCGUGUGCCUGUAAUAGCAGCUACUUGAGAGGCUGAGGUAGGAGGAUGAGGACAUUGCUUGAGCCCAGGAAGUUGAGGCUGCAGUGAGCUGUGAUUGUGUGACUGCAUUCCAGCCUGGACAACAGAUUAAGACCCAGUCUGAUAUGGUUUGGAUAUUUGUCCCCACCCAAAUCUCAUGUUGAAAUGUAAUAACUGGUGGGAGGUAUUUGGAUCAUGGGGGCAGGUCCCUCAUGAAUGGCUAGGGCUGUCCCCUUGGUGCCAAGUGAGUUUUUGCAAGAUCUGGUCAUUUUAAAGUAUGUGGCACCUCCCCCCAUACUCUCUUUCUCUUAUUCCUGCUUUUGCUGUGAGAUGUGCCUCCUCCCCCUUUUCCUUUCACCAUGAUUGUAAGCUUCCUAAGGACUCUCCAGAAGCAAAUGCUGGCACUAUGCCUCUUGUACAGCCUGCAGCACUGUGAACCAACUAAACCUCUUAUAAAUUACCCAGUCUCAGGAAUUUCUUUAUAGUAACUCAAGAAUGGCCUAAUACACUGUCUCAAAAAACAAAAACAAAAACAAAACGAAACAAAAAAUACAGAAAACCCUACCAAAAACAAAAACAAACACCUAAAUGUCAGAAAGUCAUAUUUUGGAGACCAAUCUAGUCAUAUAGGUGGCUUCUAAUUUAGUAUCUGUUUUCUACUUAGACCACUGAGUUCUGGGCAGAGCCCAUUAAGGAACAGGGCAAACAAAGCAUUUGCAGUUUUUAGGGCCUAAUAUUUGUAUAUGUAAAAAGUAGGCACAGCUGGAAGACAGAGCAUCUAGAUUUUUAAAAAUCAAGGAUUCUACUUUUACACUGAACCCUGGGUCCCCCACAAAAGAGGGAAACACCAAAGGACUGGGCUGCACAGUGUUUCCAGAGUACACCUCACUACAAAGAUGUCACCCUGAGGCUGGUGGGGGUGUGUGAGGCAUUAGUGAGAGUGACAGAUUGUGUGUCAGGUAUUAGUGGGUGGGAGACCCAUAUCAAUCAGCCCAUUCUGUGAUCAGCCCAUCCACCAUGGGAUAGUUAUUCCUUGGUGGUGAGUAUUCCCACAGUCUCCAUGUAUUCAACUAUGUCUUUUUUAUAGAAUAGAGCAAAGCAACAAGUAGCCUACAUACAGUAAUAACUAUUAAUUGCAACCACUGUCAGCUACCUCCAAAACUGCAGCCCUCACCAGUGACCCACCAGCCAUUGCAUACACAAGGUCAAAUUCUCUAAUAGGUCAAAGUAAUUCCUUGAACCCCCAAAGCCAAAGAGACCAGGUAAUGCAAUGCAAAGGAGAGUGGAGCUUUAGACCUGAUAAGAACUUGCCCAUGACUCUUCAGACUCCACAGGAAGACAGAAGAUCAUUCCCAUAAAGUGGGUGAGUGGUAGCUUUUCUAUGUUUCUUUUUAUUUAUUUAUUAUUUUAUUUAUUUAUUUAUUUAUUUAUUU